rnacentral:rRNA from 1 species
GUUGUCCGACUCUGUUGCCUCCGGGGCGACCCUGCCUUCGGGCGGGGGCUCCGGGUGGACACUUCAAACUCUUGCGUAACUUUGCAGUCUGAGUAAACUUAAUUAAUAAAUUAAAACUUUUAACAACGGAUCUCUUGGUUCUGGCAUCGAUGAAGAACGCAGCGAAAUGCGAUAAGUAAUGUGAAUUGCAGAAUUCAGUGAAUCAUCGAAUCUUUGAACGCACAUUGCGCCCCCUGGUAUUCCGGGGGGCAUGCCUGUUCGAGCGUCAUUUCACCACUCAAGCCUCGCUUGGUAUUGGGCAUCGCGGUCCGCCGCGUGCCUCAAAUCGACCGGCUGGGUCUUCUGUCCCCUAAGCGUUGUGGAAACUAUUCGCUAAAGGGUGUUCGGGAGGCUACGCCGUAAAACAACCCCAUUUCUAAGGUUGACCUCGGAUCAGGUAGGGAUACCCGCUGAACUUAAGCAUAU